CUGAGUUUACAACUCCCAAACCCAUGUGAACCUUACCUACACGUUGCUUCGGCGGCCACGCCCCGGCGCCCCAGUGCCCGGAACCAGGCGCCCGCCGGAGGACCCCCAAACCAUUGCUGUAUCUAGUGGCAUUGUCUGAGUGGCGUAAAGCAAAUCAAUCA
rnacentral:misc_RNA from 1 species